GGAGAGUUACUCAAGUGGCUCAAGAGGAUGUCCUGCUAAGACAUUAGGCGAAGUAUUUCGUGCAUCAGUUCGAAUCUGAUACUCUCCACCA
rnacentral:tRNA from 1 species